rnacentral:rRNA from 1 species
UACGGAGGAUUCAAGCGUUAUCCGGAUUUAUUGGGUUUAAAGGGUGCGUAGGCGGUUUGAUAAGUUAGAGGUGAAAUGUUAGGGCUUAACCCUGAAACUGCCUCUAAUACUGUUGAGCUAGAGAGUAGUUGCGGUAGGCGGAAUGUAUGGUGUAGCGGUGAAAUGCUUAGAGAUCAUACAGAACACCGAUUGCGAAGGCAGCUCACUGGACUGCAACUGACACUGAGGCUCGAAAGUGUGGGUAUCAAACAGG